AGUCGACGGUGACACGGAGCUUGCUCUGUGGGAUCAGUGGCGAACGGGUGAGUAACACGUGAGCAACCUGCCCCUGACUCUGGGAUAAGCGCUGGAAACGGCGUCUAAUACUGGAUACGAGUAGCGAUCGCAUGGUCAGCUACUGGAAAGAUUUUUUGGUUGGGGAUGGGCUCGCGGCCUAUCAGCUUGUUGGUGAGGUAAUGGCUCACCAAGGCGUCGACGGGUAGCCGGCCUGAGAGGGUGACCGGCCACACUGGGACUGAGACACGGCCCAGACUCCUACGGGAGGCAGCAGUGGGGAAUAUUGCACAAUGGGCGGAAGCCUGAUGCAGCAACGCCGCGUGAGGGAUGACGGCCUUCGGGUUGUAAACCUCUUUUAGCAGGGAAGAAGCGAAAGUGACGGUACCUGCAGAAAAAGCGCCGGCUAACUACGUGCCAGCAGCCGCGGUAAUACGUAGGGCGCAAGCGUUAUCCGGAAUUAUUGGGCGUAAAGAGCUCGUAGGCGGUUUGUCGCGUCUGCUGUGAAAUCCCGAGGCUCAACCUCGGGCCUGCAGUGGGUACGGGCAGACUAGAGUGCGGUAGGGGAGAUUGGAAUUCCUGGUGUAGCGGUGGAAUGCGCAGAUAUCAGGAGGAACACCGAUGGCGAAGGCAGAUCUCUGGGCCGUAACUGACGCUGAGGAGCGAAAGGGUGGGGAGCAAACAGGCUUAGAUACCCUGGUAGUCCACCCCGUAAACGUUGGGAACUAGUUGUGGGGUCCAUUCCACGGAUUCCGUGACGCAGCUAACGCAUUAAGUUCCCCGCCUGGGGAGUACGGCCGCAAGGCUAAAACUCAAAGGAAUUGACGGGGACCCGCACAAGCGGCGGAGCAUGCGGAUUAAUUCGAUGCAACGCGAAGAACCUUACCAAGGCUUGACAUAUACAAGAACGGGCCAGAAAUGGUCAACUCUUUUGGACACUCGU
rnacentral:rRNA from 1 species